AACGAACGCUGGCGGCAGGCCUAACACAUGCAAGUCGAGCGAAGUCUUCGGACUUAGCGGCGGACGGGUGAGUAACGCGUGGGAACGUGCCCUGGGGUGCGGAACAACCGCUGGAAACGGCGGCUAAUACCGCAUGAUCCUCUUCGGAGGCAAAGAUUUAUCGCCCUGGGAUCGGCCCGCGUCGGAUUAGGUAGUUGGUGGGGUAAUGGCCUACCAAGCCGAUGAUCCGUAGCUGGUUUGAGAGGAUGAUCAGCCACACUGGGACUGAGACACGGCCCAGACUCCUACGGGAGGCAGCAGUGGGGAAUCUUGGACAAUGGGGGCAACCCUGAUCCAGCCAUGCCGCGUGAGCGAUGAAGGCCUUAGGGUUGUAAAGCUCUUUCACCGGUGAAGAUAAUGACGGUAGCCGGAGAAGAAGCCCCGGCUAACUCCGUGCCAGCAGCCGCCGUAAAAC
rnacentral:rRNA from 1 species